UGGCUCAAAUCUCCAGUCAGACCCUGAUGUGGGUCUGACGGGAGAUUUGAGCCAUC
rnacentral:pre_miRNA from 1 species